UACGGAGGGGGCUAGCGUUGUUCGGAAUUACUGGGCGUAAAGCGUACGUAGGCGGCUUGGUAAGUUAGAGGUGAAAGCCUGGGGCUCAACCCCAGAAUUGCCUUUAAGACUGCCAGGCUUGAACGUCGGAGAGGUGAGUGGAAUUCCGAGUGUAGAGGUGAAAUUCGUAGAUAUUCGCAAGAACACCAGUGGCGAAGGCGGCUCACUGGCCCGGUACUGACGCUGAGGUGCGAAAGCGUGGGGAGCAAACAGGGAUUAAGAAACC
rnacentral:rRNA from 1 species